UUAGGAAUAUUCGUCAAUGGGGGAAACCCUGAACGAGCAAUGCCGCGUGAAGGAUGACGGUCCUAUGGAUUGUAAACUUCUGUUGUUAGGGAAGAACGACCUAAGUAGGAAAUGACUUAGGAGUGACGGUACCUUUCAAGAAAGCUCCGGCUAACUACGUGCCAGCAGCCGCGGUAAUACGUAGGGAGCGAGCGUUAUCCGGAUUUAUUGGGUGUAAAGGGUGCGUAGGCGGCCUUUUAGGUCUAAGGUUUAAGCCCGGAGCUUAACUCCGGUUCGCCUUAGAAACCGAUUGGCUUGAGUAUG
rnacentral:rRNA from 1 species